rnacentral:rRNA from 1 species
CCUACGUGGUGCAGCAGUGAGGAAUAUUGGUCCAUGGGCGCGAGCCUGAACCAGCCAAGUCGCGUGAAGGAUGACUGCCCUACGGGUUGUAGCCUUCUUUUAUAAAGGAAUAAAGUGAGGCACGUUUGCCUUUUUGUAUGUACUUUAUGAAUAAGGAUCGGCUAACUCCGUGCCAGAAGCCGCGGUAAUACGGAGGAUCCGAGCGUUAUCCGGAUUUAUUGGGUUUAAAGGGAGCGUAGAUGGGUUGUUAAGUCAGUUGUGAAAGUUUGCGGCUCAACCGUAAAAUUGCAAUUGAUACUGGCAGUCUUGAGUACAGUUGAGGUAGGCGGAAUUCGUGGUGUAGCGGGGAAAUGCUUAGAUAUCACGAAGAACUCCGAUUGCGAAGGCAGCUUACUAAACUGCCACUGACAUUGAUGCUCGAAAGUGUGGGUAUCAAACAGGAUUAGAUACCCGAGUAGUC